UCUCCGUAGGUGAACCUGCGGAGGGAUUAUUACUAAGUGAGGGCUCACGCCCGACCUCCAACCCUUUGUAAACGCAACUAGUUACUUCGGGGGGCGACCCUACCGUUCGGCGCGGCGCCCCUAGAGGUCAUCAAAACUCUGCAUCUCUGCGUCGGUGUCAUAAGUUAAUCAAACAAAACUUUCAACAACGGAUCUCUUGGUUCUGGCAUCGAUGAAGAACGCAGC
rnacentral:misc_RNA from 1 species